rnacentral:rRNA from 1 species
GAUGAACGCUGGCGGCGUGCUUAAUACAUGCAAGUCGAGCGAACAGGCGCGGCGCUUGCGGGGUGCUCGAGUGGCGCACGCGUGAGUAACACGCGUGGAACCCCCCCCUAUCUGAGUGAGAAAUCCUCGAGACACGGGAGCUAAUACCGUAUAAUCUCUUGCUCCGCAGGGUUCAAUGGUGAAAUACGGUUUUGCGGUCUCUUCUCGCGGGAUCCGCGCCGCUUUAGCUGGUUGGUGCGGACACGGCCUACCAAGGCUACGAUGCGUAGCCGACCUGCGGGGGUGAGUGGCCGCACUGGAAGUGAGACACGGCACAGAGUCAUACGGGAGGCAGCAGUAGGGAAUCGUCCGCCAUGGGCGGAAGCCUGUCGGAGCAACGCCGCGUGAGUGAUGAAGGUCGUCGGGUCGUAAAACACGGUUAUCAGGGAAGAACACAUUUGUAAGUAACUAGGCACGUCUGGACGGUAACUAAGCAGAAAGCCACGGCUAACUUCGGG